rnacentral:tRNA from 1 species
CGCGGGGGGGAGCAGCCCGGUAGCUCGUCAGGCUCAUAACCUGAAGGCCGCAGGUUCAAAUCCUGCCCCCGCAACCA